GUGUUUUAUUACUUCUGUGUUAACUUGUAAUAUUUCUAGUGUUGCUAUUUCUACGUAAUUUUUACAUAUCUAGACAAAGUACAAUGGACUGGGUGCAAACAAUCCUUAGUUACUUUGACAGUACAGGCAUGUCAAAGUGAAGACAAUAUAAUGAUUAUAGCAACAUUCAAUCAACCAUUCUACACUCAAAUAUGAUUUGAAUGAUACUGCAACAUGACAAAAUGGAUCUUAAAACACUAGCAUCCACUGCUGUAAUAAGCGAGGGACAUCACUACAAAACAACAUCAGUACCUGAUUUAGUCAAGGACAACUUCUACAGCCAAAAUAAAAUAAUCCUUUAGCUAUCUGAUUUUAAUAAAAAUUCACAUAAAAAUGAUAGCUUGUUGUCUACAACUUCCUAGUGGGUAAAUUAUCCAAAUACAUUAGGUGAACCGUAAUUCUAGUAAUUUUUUGUAUUAAACUUUUAUCUCACCUUAAGUGUUAGCAUUUUAUGCAGAAACUGUAGCAGCUACAAUUUCUUAUUUAGUCUAAUUCAGUUAUUCAGGUAUUGUCAUUAUACAAGUGAAGAAAAAUGUCCAUAAAAUUUGGGUAAAAGCAAUUCUUAAAAAGAAUUAUUUAAAGCUAAAAAUAUUUGUAACUAAUGCAAUAUAAUUAUAUUUGUCAUAAUACAAACUAAUAAAAGUUAGGUUUUAAUAAACCCACUCUUUUUAACUUUUUAAAAGAAAUUCAAGAAUUAAGUCAAAUAAUUGUGUAUAAAUUUUCUAUUUAAACACAAACAAAUGGAGGCAAAAUAUAUGUAUUUUUUUUUUACAGUAAAAGUUGGGAUAAUAUCUGUUAAGAAAUAAAAAUCAAAUAAAAAGGCACUUAUAUUUCAACUGUCCAUGUUUAACAUUAGAUUAUAUUCUGAGGUUUCAAUUCUGGUCAAAUGAAAUGAAAUGUGUCUAUCUUCUAAAGAUUCUAUUUUCCUUUUAACUUAUCAACAGGUUAGGCUACUAUUUAUCCCAAUUUUCCAGAUUAAAAAUAACAGCAGCAUAAUUGAGAAGUUUAAAUAUUUUUAAGACCUUCCAGUUGAAAACAAAAUUGUAAUAGAAAAGUAGCAACAAAUCCUUCAACUAAUAGGACAAGAAGUUGAUGAAGCAGCAUUCAGUAAUUUUGUUUCACAUUGAGCAAAUGGGUGGUAACAACAACAGAAAGUUGUUUCUAAAAAUAACUUUUUUUUCCUAAUGGCUCUUCAAAGUGCUUAAAGGAAAUUGUGAAACUAACAACAUCAAUCAGGUUUAUUACUAUUUAUACAUCUAAAUGCAUGUCAUGGAGUAAAACGGACUGAAACAAAGGUAGGACAUGAUUCUGUACAGCUGUACUAAGCAGAUACAUAGGAACAUUUUUAAACAGAAAAUGUUUACUUUUACAACAUUCCCUGAACAAAAUCGUUUAAAAUUUUGAGGUAUGGGGCAAUAAUAUUUUUAUUUUUAUGCUAUUGUUACAACUGAAAUUGUUUAAAUUUGGACAGAGAAAAAAGACCAUUAAGAAUGGGUGUAAAAAAAUUAUGUCUUAAGAACUAGAUUAUGAAAAAAAGCUUUUUUUUUAAAGCUAAGCAAAAUAUAGUUAUCUAGCUUUUAGAUUUGAGUUCAAUAGAUAAUCCACCAGAAUCUACUUAGGCUUAAAAUAGAAAUGGUAUUAAAA